AAUAAACCUAGUCGUUCGCGUACACAGGGGCAACCCUCGCGCGAUGUCAGCAAUACCUAGGUCACCCUUGAAUAAACUACCCUUGUUGCUUUGGCGGGCCGCCCCUCGGGGCCAGCGGCUUCGGCUGCUGCGCGCCCGCCAGAGGACCACAACUCUUGUUUUUAGUGAUGUCUGAGUACUAUAUAAUAGUUAAAACUUUCAACAACGGAUCUCUUGGUUCUGGCAUCGAUGAAGAACGCAGCGAAAUGCGAUAAGUAAUGUGAAUUGCAGAAUUCAGUGAAUCAUCGAAUCUUUGAACGCACAUUGCGCCCUUUGGUAUUCCGAAGGGCAUGCCUGUUCGAGCGUCAUUAUAACCACUCAAGCCUUCGCUUGGUAUUGGGGUUCGCGGCUGCGCGGCCCCUAAAAUCAGUGGCGGUGCCUGUCGGCUCUACGCGUAGUAAUACUCCUCGCGUCUGGGUUCCGGUAGGUUGCUUGCCAGCAACCCCUAAAUUUUUUACAGGUUGACCUCGGAUCAGGUAGGGAUACCCGCUGAACUUAAGCAUAUCAAUAAGCGGAGGAAAAGAAACCAACAGGGAUUACCUCA
rnacentral:rRNA from 1 species